rnacentral:misc_RNA from 1 species
GAUGAAGAACGCAGCGAAAUGCGAUAAGUAAUGCGAAUUGCAGAAUUCAGUGAGUCAUCGAAUCUUUGAACGCACAUUGCGCCCCUUGGUAUUCCGAGGGGCAUGCCUGUUCGAGCGUCAUUAUAACCCCUCAAGCUCAGCUUGGUGUUGGGGCCUGCUGCACUGGCAGCCCUUAAAAUCAGUGGCGGCGCCGUCUGGCUCUAAGCGUAGUAAUUCUUCUCGCUAUGGAGUCCUGGUGGAUGCUUGCCAUCAACCCCCAAUUUUUCUAUGGUUGACCUCGGAUCAGGUAGGGAUACCCGCUGAACUUAAGCAUAUCAAUAAGCGGAGGA